AAAAGGCGGGAAAGCCGUGAGGGGAGGCGGUGGGGAGGGCGCCCCCUGGCGGGCGGAGAGAGGCGCGAAUUUGGCACCGCGAUGGGGAAGCGCAGGGACCGUUCCUGCCCAGGCGACAGGAGAUUCCAGGCUCCCAAGCGGAUCCUCCGGGAAACUUCGGGAGCUGCUGGCGCGGCCGUUCCCAUUCCCACUGAUCCCACCGGGAUGGACCCCCAGGGCAGAUCCCACAGCGGGAACGAGGCUGAUCCCAAGGAAAUCCAGGUGGGAGAGCAUGGAGCCGGACCCCCUCAGG